CAAUAGCGUAUAUUAAAGUUGUUGCGGUUAAAAAGCUCGUAGUUGGAUUUCUGUUGGGAACGACCGGUCCGCCCAUUGGGUGUGUAUCUGGCUUGUUCUCGGCAUCUUCUUGGUGAACGUUGCUGCACUUGACUGUGUGGAGCGCUACCCAGGACUUUUACUUUGAGGAAAUUAGAGUGUUUCAAGCAGGCAUAUGCCUUGAAUACAUUAGCAUGGAAUAAUAAGAUAGGACCUCGGUUCUAUUUUGUUGGUUUCUAGAGCUGAGGUAAUGAUUAAUAGGGAUAGUUGGGGGCAUUCGUAUUUAACUGUCAGAGGUGAGAUUCUUGGAUUUGUUAAAGACGGACUACUGCGAAAGCAUUUGCCAAGGAUGUUUUCAUUGA
rnacentral:rRNA from 1 species